AAGAAAUACUAAUUGCUAAAGAAAAAGUAUUUCUUUAUCGAUGUCCUACCCCAACUUGCAUUGUCUGUAGAAAUUGGGGUUCCAAUUUCUCUAUGUUGGGGCCCCGCCAACUUGCACAUUUUUGUAAGCUGACUUUUCGCCAGCUUCUAUGUUGGGGCCCCCGCCAACUUGCAUUGUUUGUUGGAAUUGGUGAU
rnacentral:ncRNA from 1 species